AAUGAACGUUGGCGGCGUGGAUUAGGCAUGCAAGUCGUGCGGCAGCAGGCCCCGCAAGGGGUGCUGGCGAGCGGCGAAAGGGUCAGUAACACGUGGAUAACCUACCCUCGGGCCCGGGAUAGCGGCGGGAAACUGCCGGUAAUACCGGAUAAUGUCCCUGGACCAAAGGUGUGAUUCCGUCCGAGGAUGGUCCGCGUCCUAUUAGCUAGUUGGUGAGGUAACGGCCCACCAAGGCAAAGAUGGGUAGGGGGUGUGAGAGCAUGAUCCCCGACACUGGGACUGAGACACUGCCCAGACACCUACGGGUGGCUGCAGUCGAGAAUCUUCGGCAAUGGGCGCAAGCCUGGCCGAGCGACGCCGCGUGCGGGAUGAAGGCCUUCGGGUUGUAAACCGCUGUCAGAGGGGCGGAAAUUUAUUGGGGUUCUCCCCAGUAAUUGACUUAACCUCAGAGGAAGCAUGGGCUAAGUUCGUGCCAGCCGCCGCGGUAACAC
rnacentral:rRNA from 1 species